ensembl:miRNA
CUUAUUGGCUGGAAAGGAAGAAGCAUUCUUUCAUUGGUUGGUGUGUAUUGCCUUGUCAACCAAUAAGAGGAUGCCAUUUAUCCUUUUCUGACUAGCUGAGUGAGCAGGGUG